rnacentral:rRNA from 1 species
UACGUAGGGUGCAAGCGUUGUCCGGAUUCAUUGGGCGUAAAGAGCGUGUAGGCGGCCAGGUAGGUCGGUUGUGAAAACUGGAGGCUCAACCUUCAGAGGUCGACCGAAACCAUCUGGCUAGAGUCCGGGAGAGGAGAGUGGAAUUCCUGGUGUAGCGGUGAAAUGCGCAGAUAUCAGGAAGAACACCCGUGGCGAAGGCGGCUCUCUGGGACGGUACUGACGCUGAGACGCGAAAGCGUGGGGAGCGAACAGG